AAUAAGAAGCAAAGUUUGCAUUUAGUUUCGACCUAAAAAUAUGAUAAUUAUUAUCCUUAUUU
rnacentral:tRNA from 1 species